GACAUUUUGGUGGAAUUUGGGAAAAACAGUUUUCAGAUUUGAAUGGUUGAAAUCCCCUGCAAUCAGAAAAACCCCAUCCGGGUCUUCUGUCUGCUGUUUGCUAAUAGCUGCAUGCAGUUCAUUCAUUGCUAGUUUAGCAUUAGCAUCUGGGGGUAUGUAGACUGCCGUACCAACAAUUGAUGUAAAGUCCUGAGGCAAGUAAAAAGGCCUGCAACUAAUCAUCAGGUACUCCAGACUGGUUGAGCAGUGACUCCAGUUAAGUUAGUGUUUGUAAACCAUGUUUUGUUUACAUAAAUGCCCAGCCUACCUACUCCGGUCUUACCGGAGUCCACUUCAGUCCGAUCUGCUCUGAAGACAUCGCGCCCUUCCAGCUCAAUUACGUUGUUGAAGAUCCACCACAUCAUGCCUACAACCUCGUCCUCCUGCCUGCCCGCCAGCCUACCUGCUCUGCCCAUGCUGCCUGCCAUCCCUGCCGCCCUGUCUGCCUUACCCCUCUGGCCAACCCUACUACCCCGCCUACCAGCCCAGCCCUCACCCCCCCGGCCUUGCCUCAGUCCUGAUACCUGCAUUACACCCUGAGUUUAGUUGCUUGGGUCCACUAGAGAAUGAACCACCACAAAGGGACACGGCAGAAAUGGACGGUAGAGGAACUCCUCGGUUGGCCUGACAGCGACACUGAGGAGGAGGAGGAGAACCCCUACCGUCCCCUGCGGCACACCGGGCCAACACAGCGUCCACCCACAAGGAGACGUCGAAAGAGGCGACGGAAGCAAACCUCCGUGUGUCCGCCCCAAGAAUUUCUGGCUGCGUGGGGGCGAGCGGAGUGGCAGGACACGGCCGUGCCACCCGUGCUCACGUGUGGGGUAGUCCAGGUGCCCCAGCCCUGCCCGGUGCCAGCUCCUAGGCGUCGGGCAACAACGCCGGUGGGGCCUAUGAGGGCUUUCCCUGAUGUAGGGAGAUGCGAGGACUGGUGGGGCUAUCGGGACCCGCCGUACCGGUUCUCGCAGCCAGCGCCCCCCGCUGCCUGGGAGCCGCCGCCAGCGCCCCACGCUGCCCGGGAGCCGCAGCCAGCGC
ensembl:lncRNA